GCGGACAGAACUCUUCGGAGGGACGUUCGUGGAACGAGCGGCGGACGGGUGAGUAACACGUAGGCAACCUGCCUGUAAGACUGGGAUAACUCGCGGAAACGCGAGCUAAUACCGGAUAAUACUUAUGAUCWCCUGAUGAUAAGUUGAAAGGCGGCUUUUGCUGUCACUUACAGAUGGGCCUGCGGCGCAUUAGCUAGUUGGUGRGGUAACGGCUCACCAAGGCGACGAUGCGUAGCCGACCUGAGAGGGUGAUCGGCCACACUGGGACUGAGACACGGCCCAGACUCCUACGGGAGGCAGCAGUAGGGAAUCUUCCGCAAUGGACGAAAGUCUGACGGAGCAACGCCGCGUGAGUGAUGAAGGUUUUCGGAUCGUAAAACUCUGUUGUCGGGGAAGAACAAGUAUGAUAGUAACUGAUCGUACCUUGACGGUACCCGACCAGAAAGCCACGGCUAACUACGUGCCAGCAGCCGCGGUAAUACGUAGGUGGCAAGCGUUGUCCGGAAUUAUUGGGCGUAAAGCGCUCGCAGGCGGUUCUUUAAGUCUGAUGUGAAAUCUUGCGGCUCAACCGUAAACGUGCAUUGGAAACUGGAGGACUUGAGUGCAGAAGAGGAGAGUGGAAUUCCACGUGUAGCGGUGAAAUGCGUAGAGAUGUGGAGGAACACCAGUGGCGAAGGCGACUCUCUGGUCUGUAACUGACGCUGAGGAGCGAAAGCGUGGGGAGCGAACAGGAUUAGAUACCCUGGUAGUCCAC
rnacentral:rRNA from 1 species